rnacentral:rRNA from 1 species
CAAGCUAACGCUUGAAUACAUUAGCAUGGAAUAAUGAAUAGGACGUUCGAUCCUAUUUUGUUUGGUUUCUUAGGAUUGACGUAAUGAUUAAUAGGGAUAGUUGGGGGCAUUAGUAUUCAAUUGUCAGAGGUGAAAUUCUUGGAUUUAUUGGAGACUAACUACUGCGAAAGCAUUUGCCAAGGAUGUUUUCAUUAAUCAAGAACGAAAGUUAGGGGAUCGAAGACGAUCAGAUACCGUCGUAGUCUUAACCAUAAACUAUGCCGACUAGGGAUCGGAUGAUGUUAAUUUUUUAAUGACUCAUUCGGCGCCUUACG